AUUGAACGCUGGCGGCAGGCCUAACACAUGCAAGUCGAACGAGUGGCGGACGGGUGAGUAAUGUAUGGGCAACUGCCUGAUGGAGGGGGAUAACUACUGGAACCGGUAGCUAAUACCGCAUACCAUCAGAUGUGCCCAGAGGGGAUUAGCUGGUCGGUGGGGUAACGGCUCACCAAGGCGACGAUCCCUAGCUGGUCUGAGAGGCUGAUCAGCCACACUGGGACUGAGACACGGCCCAGACUCCUACGGGAGGCAGCAGUGGGGAAUAUUGCACAAUGGGCGCAAGCCUGAUGCAGCCAUGCCGCGUGUAUGAAGAAGGCCUUCGGGUUGUAAAGUACUUUCAGUGGGGAGGCGGUACCGAAAGAAGAAGCACCGGCUAACUCCGUGCCAGCAGCCGCGGUAAUAC
rnacentral:rRNA from 1 species